ACAAGAAUAACACUCUUUAUUCUGUCAUAAAUGGGCCAACAGAACUUAGUCAAUCUACCACUCAUUUAUAUACAAGUACAUGAUGUAUACAUGAAAACUCAGCAAUAUAUUAGGAGCCUGAGGAGGCACAGAGAAAAAGAUAAAGGGCAGUAACUCUGUCAACAGAAAGAGAGGCCAGAACAAAACUGAUAUUUAAUUUUUAGUUCAUGAUAGCCGAAAUCGUAUCAAAAAUCUAGAUAAGUAACAUUUUAAAAGCACAGUCCAUCCAUCAACCAGAAAGAAUUACAAAACUUUGAUAUAUAUAUGCAAAAUCAUAAUUUAACUGCAGAAAAAGACCAGCUUAAUAUCUGCAGCUAUAUUGAAAGUUUCAGUUAAUAUAUUUGAGAAAGGAGAUUGUAGAAGACUCUCUCAGGCAUUAUAGCUAAAUCCUUGGCUUUUUAAUUGAAACUUGAAUACGAUUUAUUAGUUUUUAUUAAUGUCAUUUUCUCAAAUUUUCCUUUAAUCUUUUAUUUGUAUAAUAAUUUUCCAUCUCACUAAUCAAGUGAUAAAGGUUUUGCUCAGACGAGUAGAGAAAGGCUUAUGCCAUUAUAAGUCUACGUCUUUGACAUUGCCUAGAUAAAAAGUGAUAAACAGAUUAUUAAUGGUCUUUCAAAAAUUCAAACUUAAGGAUACUUAUCAGCUCCAUCCCAACUCAAGGCUAUCAAUGAGAUUGCAGCAUUAAAAACUCUGUGCAUAAGAAUAAAUCUCUACUGUUUCGAACUUCCGAACAAGAAGUGACAACAGCAACUCACACUGGACUUUGGUUCAGGUAUGAUGAUAAGGAGGGCAAAUUGUG
rnacentral:lncRNA from 1 species